CAGGACGAACGCUGGCGGCGUGCUUAACACAUGCAAGUUGAACGGUAUGACAUGGAAGCUUGCUGAAGUGUCAUAUAGUAGCGGACGGGUGAGUAAUGCAUGAGAAGCUGCCAUUGGGAGGGGGACAACAGUUGGAAACGGCUGCUAAUACCCCGUAUGCCGGAGGGUGAAAGGGAGUAAUCCGCCCGAUGAGGUGCUCAUGUCCUAUCAGCUGGUUGGUGGGGUAACGGCCUACCAAGGCGACGACGGGUAGCCGGCCUGAGAGGGUGAACGGCCACACUGGAACUGAGAUACGGUCCAGACUCCUACGGGAGGCAGCAGUGGGGAAUAUUGGGCAAUGGGCGAAAGCCUGACCCAAGCGACGCCGCGUGAGGGAAGAAGGUCUUCGGAUUGUAAACCUCUUUCAGCAAGGAAGAAGAAAGUGACGGUACUUGCAGAAGAAGCCACGGCUAACUACGUGCCAGCCGCUGC
rnacentral:rRNA from 1 species